rnacentral:rRNA from 1 species
UACAGAGGUCUCAAGCGUUGUUCGGAUUCAUUGGGCGUAAAGGGUGUGUAGGUGGCGCCGUAAGUCAGGUGUGAAAUCUCGGAGCUUAACUCCGAAACUGCAUUUGAUACUGCGGUGCUUGAGGACUGGAGAGGAGACUGGAAUUCAUGGUGUAGCAGUGAAAUGCGUAGAGAUCAUGAGGAAGACCAGUGGCGAAGGCGGGUCUCUGGACAGUUCCUGACACUGAGACACGAAGGCCAGGGGAGCAAACGGG